UACGAAGGGGGCUAGCGUUGUUCGGAAUUACUGGGCGUAAAAGCGCACGUAGGCGGAUCGAUCAGUCAGGGGUGAAAUCCCAGGGCUCAACCCUGGAACUGCCUUUGAUACUGUCGAUCUGGAGUAUGGAAGAGGUGAGUGGAAUUCCGAGUGUAGAGGUGAAAUUCGUAGAUAUUCGGAGGAACACCAGUGGCGAAGGCGGCUCACUGGUCCAUUACUGACGCUGAGGUGCGAAAGCGUGGGGGAGCAAACAGG
rnacentral:rRNA from 1 species